GAGAUUGAUAAUGUACCAAAGCAGAUUCACUUAAUUUGUGUAAACAUAUCAUAUAAUCCUUGCAGCAGCAGAUUCAGUGUUUAAUAAGAAUGAGGGAUAUGAAAGCUAACUUGAGAAUACUUCACAAUCAACAAUUGUUUAAGAAUAUCUUAAAGAGAAGAAUUUAAAACAUCUGGUUAGAAGACAAAGACCUAAAACGUCUUUAAAUGUUCCAUGAGCACUUGAAAAAGCACAGGAUUUGCUGCAUGCAGCCUCAUUAAUGAUCUGUCUCAGGAGUAAAGAAACCACCAAGGAGAUCAACUUGGCAAGAUUUUCACUUCAGAUUCCCCUGACCUCUACAACAAGUUUGGUUGUCUCAUAUUCUCUCCAGUUCCUUAGGCCAGCUCAAGUUUUAUCAGUAUCUUUUGGACCCAAUGAGUCCUUCCUGGCCUCACUCCAGAAGAAGACUGGCCUCAGUCCAGAGAAACAAAAAAUGUGAAAUUCACCCACUGGAACUCUCCUUCUCCAAGUAUCAGUCUCCUUCCAGAAUUUCCGGCUUCUGGUCUCUUUUCAAGGAAUUUAGAAGUUUCCCAAAUGGCUCUUCAGAUAAUUAAUAUAGUGGAACUUGUACAUGGGAUAGGAAACCAAGUUCCUAAGCAAGUAUGACUGGCUUGAGUAUCACCCUAAACCAAGUGUCCAGAAUGAAUCUAAGUAGAAGAAGGGAAGACGAGAAGGACACAAGAAGG
rnacentral:lncRNA from 10 species